GAAGAGACGACUGAGUGGUUAGUGCUGCGUUGCCGGUCUCCAGCAGCAGUUGGCUUCUCCACGAAGAACCCGGGAGUAGUACACUCAAAAUCUUCUCUCCCUCUCCCCUCCUGGUUACAAAAUACUUGAAUACAUAAGUGAGUGGAACUUUGCUUGAGUGAGAUUUUUUUGAUCUUCAGCUACAUUUUUCGGCUUCGUGAGGAACCUUACCAUCAAACACAAAGGCUAGCAAUGUUACCAACAAGACAGAUCCUCGCCCCAUGAUCUCCCGUGUAUUCAUCGGGAAUCUUAACACUCUUGUGGUCAGGAAGUCUGAUGUGGGGGCAAUUUUUUCGAAGUAUGGCAAAAUUGUGGGUUGCUCUGUUCAUAAGGGCUUUGUCUUCGUUUCGUAUGUUAAUGAGAGGAAUGCCCGGGCUGCUGUAGCAGGAGAGGAUGGCAGAAUGAUUGCUGGCCAGGUUUUAGAUAUUAAUCUGGCUGCAGAGCCAAAAGUGAACCGAGGAAAAGCAGGUGUGAAACGAUCUGCGGCGGAGAUGUACGGCUCCUCUUUUGACUUGGACUACGACUUUCAGCGGGAUUAUGAUGACAGGAUGUACGGUUAACCCAGCACGAGUUAGGCCUCCUCCUCCUAUUGCUCGGGCUGUGGUGCCCUCGAAACGCCAGCGUGUCUCCGGAAACACCUCACGAAGGGGCAAAAGUGGCUUCAGUUCUAAGAGUGGACAGCGAGGAUCUUCUUCCAAGUCUGGAAAGUUGAAAGGUGAUGACCUUCAGGCCAUUAAGAAGGAACUGUCUCAGACAAAGCAAAAAGUGGAUUCUCUGCUGGAAAACCUGGAAAAAGUUGAAAAGGAACAGGGCAAACAAGCAGCAGCAGAGACGAAGAAAGAUACGGUAGAAGAGGAGCAAACUACCACCUCGGUGAAGAAAGGCGAAACUAACGUGAAGAUGGAGUCUUCAGGUGACUCUGCUGAGGAGGGGGACCUACUGGAUGGUGAGGAUAAUGAAGAUGGGGGGAUGACCAGCUGGAGUUGAUCAAGGUUGACGAAAAAGAGGCUGAGGGAGGAGAGGAUGACAGAGACAGCGCCGAUGGCCAGGAUGACUCUUAA